GUAAGUUAAGUAAGAUAAAUCAACUUUCUUUUUUUUUAAUAAACCUAUCAUUGUUUUCUUUUAUACUUUCUUUUGCUUCUCAAAGCAAAUAAACUUUUUUUUAUUUUGUUUUUUUUUCCUCCCUUUCUCUAUUUAUGUUUAGCUAUGUUAUGCAUGGUAGGUAGUAUUUACUAGUAGGAAAUUUGGCCAAAUAUUCUUGAUGAGGCGUCUAAUUGAGAAAUAUAAGCUUGCAUUUUACAAACUUUGAAAAAUAUGCUUUAAAAUAAUUUUUGGACAAACAUACCCUCUAACUGAUAUUGAAUGAUUUCCCCUCCCCUCUUUCUCACACACACUCUCUCUCCAACCUCGACCCACCCUCUCUCUCUCUACGCGACAUCCCUCAACGCCACCUAGACACUCCCUCAACUCCCGUAGAAGCUCACUUGAUGCUCAUUGGCACCUCCUCGAUGCCACCAUCACUCUCUCACACACUAAGUCUAGGUGAUUCUAAGAAUACUUUGGAAGGCUAUGAAAAAAUUGAAGAUUGGUUCAGUUUCUUGGUAAUACUAUGCGAUAGAAAGGAUACAAGGGUUAGAGAAACUGAAGGAAGAACUCAUUCAUUCCGCUGCGUAUAAGCUUGAUUACUACUGCAAUCGCAAGGUGAAUUAUUGAGCGAUAUCAAUUUUUGGUGCCGUUGCCGGGGAGGUAAAGGCAAGGGAAAGCUGGACUAACCAUGAGUUGGAGAGCUUUGGGGGCGGAGUGUACAUCGACAGCUGCUCAACUGCCACGACCGAGGGAAUUAUAAGGACUAGAGCUCAAACUUGUAUUUUGCCAUUUAGACUAGCUACGGUUGUAUUAAAUUUUGAGGGUUGUAUCCGCCAUGCAAAUCUUAUUUUUGUGAACCCAUGUAUCAUACUCUUAUUUUAAUGAAAAUCAACCAUUUUACGAUCAAAAUCUUUUAACCCUGACCUGUCACUUGAUUUUAGAAACACAUUUAUGUUCAAACGACUUGAUUAGCAAGUCUUGCACUAUUCUAAACACACAAUGUAACGGUCUUGGUUAUCCAAGGCAUUACAAGGCUAUGCCACAUCGUGACCCUCAAAGAAGAUUAAACCCAAUGAUGAAGGAAGUAGUUAAGGCUGAAGUCUUGAAACUUCUUGAUUCUACAAUGAUCUAUCCCAUUGCUGAUAGUAAGUGGGUUAGCUUAACUCAGGUUGUUCCCAAGAAAUCCAGAUUAAUAGUGGUACAAAAUGAAAAGGGGGCACUCAUGCCUACCAAGGUCACAACUAAGUGGCACAUGUGCAUUGAUUAUAGAAAAUUAAAUACAGCCACCCACAAAGACCAUUUUUUACUUCCAUUCAUCGACCAAAUAUUGGAACGUGUGGCAGGCCAUCCUUUCUAUAGUUUUCUCAAUUGUUAUUCAGGGUAUUACCGAAUCGAGAUAGCCUUAGAAGAAUAGGAUAAGACCACUUUCACUUUUCCUUUUGGUACUUAUGCUUUACGGCGUAUGCCAUUUGGCUUGUGCAAUGCUCCAACAACUUUUCAGCGUUGCAUGAUGACCAUAUUUAGCAACAUGAUUGAGAAAUUCAUGGAAGUAUUCAUGGAUGAUGACAGUCUUUGGAGAUUCUUUUGAAUCAAGCCUACUUAAUUUAGAAUCCGUGCUUAAACAAUGUAAAGAGAAAGGCUUAGUACUCAACAGGGAGAAAUGUUAUUUCAUGGUGCCAUCUGGCAUAGUCUUGGGGCACAUUGUUUCAGAACGAGGAAUUGAGGUCGAUCAAUCAAAGAUCAAACUCAUAUCAAAGCUUCCCACCCCCAAGACUAUUAAGGACAUUCAAUUUUUCCUUGGGCAUGCAUGAUUCUAUAGGAGGUUCAUACAAAAUAUUUCAACAAUCGCUCGCUCUUUAUCAAACCUCCUAGCAAAAGAUAUUGUGUUCAACUGGACACCUGAGUGUGAAGGACAUUCAAUUUUUCCUUGGGCAUGCAUGAUUCUAUAGGAGGUUCAUACAAAAUAUUUCAACAAUCGCUUGCUCUUUAUCAAACCUCCUAGCAAAAGAUAUUGUGUUCAACUGGACACCUGAGUGUGAGGAGUCUUUCCGUACUUUUGUUGCAAAACUUACUUCAGCCCCUAUCAUUCAGCAACUAGAUGAAAACUUACCAUUCGAAAUCAUGUAUGAUGCUGACAAUUACACUAUAGGGGUCGUCAUAUGUCAAAGAAGGGAAGGGAAACCCUUCAUCGUCUACUAUGCAAGUCGAACUCUUAACAUCGCUUUGAUGAACUAUUCUACUAUUGAAAAGGAGUUACUUGUUGUAGUAUUUGCACUUGACAAGUUUUGUUCCUACCUGAUUGGUCACCUAUCAUAGUCUUUAAAGACCAUUUCCCCCAUAAAUACCUCAUAUACAAAAAGGAUGCUAAAGCGCACUUGAUUAGGUGGAUCCUUCUGUUACAGAAAUUUGAUCUAACCAUAAAGGACAAGAAAUGAGUUGAAAAUGUAAUAGCAGACCACUUGUCUCGUCUUUAAUUCUGAUUAUGUUGAUGGCCUAGCCAUUUGAAAUGACUUCCCUGAUGACCAUUUCUUCGCAGUCACUAAGUAACCAUAGUAUGCUCAUAUCGUCAAUUACUUAGUGACUGGAGAUAUUCCUUCUGCCUGGAAUGCACAAGAUAAGCAUAAUUUUUUUGUCGAGAUUCGUAAUUUUUAUUGGGAUGAUCCAUAUCUUUUCAAAUACUAGCUUGACCAAAUAAUGAAAUGUUGAAUUCCAAAAGAUGAAACUUUCAGUGUCUUGAAAUUUUGCCACAAUGAAGCAUGUGGUGGUCAUUUUUCUAUGAAAAAGAUUGCUGCAAAAAUAUUACAGUGUGGUCUUUAUCGGCCCACUUUGUUCAAAGACACUAACAAUUUCUACCGGUCUUGUGAAAUGUGUCAGAAAUUAGAUGAUUUUUCCCAACGACACAUGAUGCCAUUAAACCCAAUUCUUGUAAUAGAAAUAUUCGAUUGUUGGGGGAUAGACUUUAUGAGACUAUUUCAACCCUCUUUUGGUUACCUUUACAUUCUGCUGGCCAGAGACUUUGUCUCAAAAUGGGUGGAAGUUGUGCCUUGUCAAAAUAAUGAUAACACAACUGUUGUGAAAUUUGUAAAGGAAAAUGUGUUAUCUAGGUUUGGCACACCACGAGCUAUCAUAAGUGAUCAAGGCACUCAUUUUUGCAACCACUCUUUCGAGACCUUAAUGCAAAAGUACGAUGUACUUCAUAAGGUUACAUUGCCAUACCAUCCACAGACAAAUUUCAAAGAUGAGUUAGCUAAUAGAGAAAUUAAGAAAAUCUUAAAGAAAACGGUUAACCCAGGCCACAAAGAUUGGUCCUCACAAUUUCUAGAUUCUCUCUAGGCAUACCACACUUCUUACAAAACUCAGCUUGGGAUGUCUCUUUAUAGGCUAGUCUAUGGCAAAGCUUGCCAUAUUCCUAUUGAGUUGGAACAUAAAGCUUAGUGGGCUUUUAAAAGCCUAAAUUUUGAUCUCAAGGCGGCAAGACUAAAUCGCAAGCUUCAGUUAUCAAAAAUUGAGGAGUUAAGGAACAAUGCUUAUGAAAACUCUAAGAUCUACAAGGCUAAAAUGAAAUCGGCUCAUGAUAAGCAGAUCCUAAGGAAAGAAUUUGAGCCAAACCAACAAGUGCAUCUUUAUGACUCUCAUCUGCAUCUCCACCCUGGAAAGCUGAGAUCAAGGUGGAUGUAACGACCUGAAUUUACCGUUAAGGCUAAGUACCUGGAGGGCAUAAUGGGAUAUACAUGUUGAAUUAAUUGAAUAAAUGUGUGACUAUGUGACAUACGUGAUUUAUAUGAUAAUAUGGAUUUAAAUGCAUGUUUAUGUGUAUUAAAUAUGCAUGUGGGCCCAUUCUUGACAGUAAAGGCAUAUUUGUAAUAUUGGUCCGUUGCGGGCAUAAAUGUGAUUAUAUGCGUGUAAAUGAGUGAGACCACAUUAUUAUGUGGAUAUAUUUGCAGUAUACGACUCGAGACGAUCCUAGUGAGCGAGUUAGCGAAAUAGUCACAACGGGGUCCAAUACCUGGCUCGGGGCGAGCCUAGGGGUAUUUUGGGGACUUAGUGUGUAUUUGGGAUUUAUUGAUUAACGUGCGAUAAUUUUGUGAUUAAAUGGGAACAUCAGGAUUAAUUGGGAAUUUUUGGAAGACUUGAGGAAUUAGUGUGAAUUAGGAUUAAUGACCGUUUUACCCUUAUGGGCAAUUAGGAGGCUAGGUUAGUAUAAAGGGCAUUUUGGUCAUUAUAACUAAAAGAUAUAGUUAGAAAAUAUUAGACUUAAGUUGGAAUAUAUCUGAACUUUCCCCAACUCUCUCUUCCUUUUCUCUCUCCCUUUUCUCUCUCCCUCUCUUUUUAUUUUUGGUGCACUUGAAGACUUUGGGGAGACUCUUAAAGAAUUGUUGCAGUAGCUGGGAAUUUGAAGCUUGAGGGCUACAGAUUGAAGCCGGGAAUACGUAGAGCAAGUCAAGGGAAGUUAAAUUCAUAGUUAAGGUAAGCUUCACAAUCUGAAUUUUCUGUGAGAAUUUAUGUGAUUAAGCUAGGUUGUAGCUAAGUAGAGUUCUAGUUUGAAUUGGAUUAAGGAUUUGAUAUGAAUUUCAGGUUGUUUGUAGUAUUUAGGGUGUGUUAUUGAGAGUUAUGGGCACAAUUCUGGCUUUAGCACAUAUUUGAGUUGAAUUCUGUUGAAUAUGCUUGGGAGGGCGCGCUGCGACCCUGUUCAUGGGCGUCGCAGCCCGCAUGGCCCCAGAAGCCUAGGGGGCUUUUUGUCUCUUAGGCACUCCGUGACCCUCAGGGCUAGGUUGCGGCCUGCAUGUCUGUAGGGAUUGGGUCUUAGCGCCUCUGACCAGGGGGCAUGCUGCGACCCUUAGGGCCAGGUCGUGACCCGUCUAGGCAGACUUAGCCAAAUUAGGCUUUUGGGCUCGGGGAUCUAAACCUAAGCGCUCGAGACAAUUUCUAUUACCCGGUUUGGUAGAAAUUGAGGUCCCAGGGGCUCGUAUUUUAUUCCAAAGCUUUCAAUUGGUUUAGGAAUUUUAAUGGUUAUCCACUAUCUCUUUGUGACUAGGUUAUACCACAAAGGCUCAGGAUUAGGUAUCGUGCUCGGGGCUAUCAUAUGCUAGCUACUCGGGACCUGAGGUAAGAAAACUGUACCUGAGUUGUGAUUGGGGCUUAACCCCCCCGGUACAUGAAUAUAUUAUGAAUAUGAACCUAUCUAUAGCUGAGAAUAUUUGGAUGGACAUGCUUUUAUAUGCUACCAUUGAUUACUUGAUAUGCAUUGUGUAUUGUGAAUGUAUAUGUUUGCAGGUCGCCCUAAGGGUGCCGGGGGUCGAUAGCAAGCGUACGAAACGCGGGCCGACCUAAGGGUGCUGGGGUCGACUAAGAGACCAGGGAACUCGACCUAAGGGCGUCGAGCCUGGACACUCUACCAUAAACAGAAGUGUGGUUCACACUUAAGAAUUUUUAUUGACUGAUGAGUUUGGUUUACAUAUUUGACUGAGUUGAAUAAUGUUGUUGGUUAGUUAUUUAUAUCCUAUCAUUGAUUGAGUUUGAUGAUUUAUAUUUACUUCUUUUAUAUAGUAUUUCCUAGUUGUGCAUGUUGGUUUAAGUUUUCUUGCUGAGCAUUGGCUCACGGGUGCUACGUGGUGCGGGUAAGGGAAAGAGAUAGUGGGACCAGCCAUGAGUUGGAGAGCUUCAGGGGCGGUGUGUACAUAUGCGGCCUACUCGAUCGCCACGGUCGGGAUAGCUUGGGAGGAACAAGGGUCAAACCCUGAUUUGCCGCUCAAGACGACUAAAUUGUAUUCUAAUUGUCUUUUACAAGUCUAUAAGGUGAUUUUGGGAUCCCGUGUAUAAACUUAAUAUUUUAAUGAAAAAUAACCAUUUUGUUGACCAAAUCUUUUAAUACUUUACCUUGACAUAGUCUUUAAUUACACAUUUGGGUUCAAACAGCUUGCUUAGCAAGUCAAGCACCAUUUUAAACACACAGUGUAAUGGUCUUGGUUAUCCAGGGCGUUAUAGUGGACAUGUCCAUAUGUUGUGAAAAUUGUCUUCCCAAACGGUGUUGUUGAGGUCACAGACCCAACCGAUGGGAUAAUAUUCAAAGUAAAUGCCCAGAGACUGAAACACUACAUAAAGAAGGUGGCCCGGUGUAACGCCCUGGUUACUCCAAGACCGUUACUGUGGACUUUAAACAGUGCUUAACUCACUAAAUGAGUCAUUUGGUUAUAAACGUGCUUCUAGGUGUUAUUAAUAGGCUAAGGUAAAAAAUCUUGAUAAAAAGGAAUGGAUAUAUUUUAUUUAAAACAUAAAACUGUACAUGGGCCCAUAAAAGUGUUUACAAAGUUACUUACAAUCCAAAAUGGUCAUUACAGUGUAAAAAUUACAACCCGCCGACCUAAGCGGCAAAAAUAGGUUUAACCCUUAGUUCCUCUGAGAAAUACCCUGGCCGUGGUGGUCAAGCAGCCGCAUAUGUACACAUUGCCACCUAAGCUCUCCACUCAAGGAUGGGUGAGCUUUUCUUUCCCUUACCUGCACCACAUAGCACC